UCUCUCUCAUCAGUCUUACAAGUCUUCUGUUCUUCAGCUUCACUUAUUACAGGUGCCCCUUUCUUCUUCUUAUUCUUUUAUUUAUUACUAUUAUUAUUGUAACCAAUUUUCCAUUGCAAGUUGGAGGGAACACUAAAGAGGAACAAGCAGAGUUGCUUCUUCAGUCCUCCAAUACAGCCACUACUUCUGCUCCUGUUAAUUGGAAGUGAGGGCUGGGGUGGACUCUACAGUGGCCUUAAGCCUUCUAUACUUGGAACUGCUGCUUCACAGGAUUUGAAGGAUAUGAAGAAGAGGCUGAAGGAGAUUGAGAAGGAUACUAGCGCCCUCCAAGAAAUGGAACAUUUAAAAUGAAGAUCUUGAUAGAUGUAUGUAUUUCCUUCAAAAUCAAUAAAGCUCUUUCUGCCAUGAAAGUAAAGGAUCGAUCUGAAGAAACCAUUUAAGUGCCUCCAUAAAUCCUAUACGGACAGAUUUAACUUUUCUCACCUCUCACACUUUCUGGUUUCUGCAAGUUACGGUUUUUAAGAUCAAGUCAAAAAGGACUCAUGGGUUCAUAGUUUUCAAGUUUGAGGAGAAUCAGAAGCAAGUCAUUGCAGAGAAUAAGGAGCUCAAGGCUAUGAAAGAUUUCAUUGCUUGCCUCCCUCCUAAUGAGUGCCGCGAUGCUUCCAUGAAGUAAUUAGGAAGUGUCACUUAUGUUAUGGUCUUUCUAUAGGUUCUAAUGAUUUAUAAUUUUAUUUAUGCAUUGAACAUGAUUUAUGAUUUAAUUGCUGUAUUUCUGUUACCACUUGCCUUUUUUAGACUUGGAUGCAGGGAAGUAGUAACCUUCAGUCCUUUUGAACCAUUUGCUAGGAAAGUGUGUAGGUUCUUGCCGAAUUACUAUUUUUUAUUGAUGAAGGGAAAUUCCAUCUAGAGGGUGUGGUAUUUCAAACUAACUUUGUUUUAGAUGUUUAUUUAUCAUUUGUAAAAUUUGUUGUAGGUAAAAUUAGUUCUGACAUAAUUAAAGUUA